rnacentral:SRP_RNA from 2 species
GGAAGGCUAGGGCGGGCGAGUGUCUUGCGAACCCGGCCAGGGCCGAGAGGCAGCAACCGUACCAAGUUUUCAUCCGGGUCGUUCUAGUCUUCCACC